AUUCGAUCGGCCGAUUUAUCGGUGUUACCAAUACUUGUUCUCAACACUUGAAUGUUGAGAACAAGUAUCGGUAACACCGAUAAAUCGGCUGAUCGAAU